AGCUCCAAUAGCGUAUAUUAAAGUUGCUGCAGUUAAAAAGCUCGUAGUUGCAUUUCCGAGGCAAGGGAUUAGUCCGACCUUUGGUGGGUAUUUAAUCCUCUUGCCUCGUCCUUGAGUGGUGCUUCUUGGUAUUAAGUUAUCGAGGAGAUAGCCGCUCAUCGUUUACUGUGAGAAAAUUAGAGUGUUCAAAGCAGGCUUAUGCCGUUGAAUAUAUUAGCAUGGAAUAAUAAGAUAGGACCUCGGUACUAUUUUGUUGGUUUGAGAACCAAGGUAAUGAUGAAUAGGGACAGUUUGGGGUAUUCGUAUUCAGUUGUCAGAGGUGAAAUUCUUAGAUUUACGGAAGACGAACUACUGCGAAAGCAUUUUCCAAGGAUGUUUUCA
rnacentral:rRNA from 1 species